rnacentral:snoRNA from 1 species
GGAUCAAAUGAUGAGGAAAACUGCAACAAUAUGACGGAUCUAUAUCCUUUCCGUGAUUCGUAGUAUUUAAGUCUCUGAUGAUC